rnacentral:lncRNA from 1 species
CAAUUAAAAAAAAUAAACUAUAAGCAACAACUUCUAAAGUAUUAAGGGGCAUAUAUAAGCCUUCUAAAAUAGUUGGUGAUUGUUUCUUUAGGAAUUUACAAAUGAUUAACAAAGUGUGGUUCAUCAAAGCUUACCAAGAGGUGAAAGCUGGUGUGACGGCAACGAUAUUUAUCUAGAAAAUGUAGAAUGUUCUAUCAGAUUAAAACAAAAUCAUGAAAAAUAAAAAUCAGAAAAGAUUUAGUCAACUCAUUGGAUUCAGCUUGGUUGGACACGAGAUCAGCCACGUCAUCGCUCACCAUCUUCAAUGUUCACACCAUGAUAACCCCAAUGAUAGCAGGAGUUUUAUAUUACAAUAAUAAAAAAAGGUAAAAAAAUUCUAAAGUAAAUGAUAUAAUUUAGGCAAUUAAAGAAGCAAAUCCUGGUCCGCCUGGUGGCAGCCAGUAGUCUCAUGCUUCACGCAACGGCUGCUGCUGGCAGGCCAACAUCUCUUAACUAGAUAACAGAUUGCUAAUUGCCAUUCACCACCUUUAUGCUUCUAUUACUUUAAACUCCCACUUAGCUUCAUUAAUUUUACAUCUAUACCUUUGCCUUCUACUCUUAUUAAAUAAAAAAUAAAAAACCUUCUUGUAGAUAUACGACCUAUAUUUGCUGCUCACACCUCUACGCAAAUUCAAAAAUUUACUUUAGAGGUCAAAGAUAAAUUAUUAUAAAUUUGAAAGGGUAAAAUAUGUUUUAUUAUUCUAUCAUAUUGUACUUUUAUAAAUUUUGAAAGAAUUAAAGUACAAAUUUAUUAUUUUUCGGCUAAGACCACUAUUUGCCCCUACUCUAUGGCUCUGCUCAAUUUACUUUUACUAAAACUUACUAUAUAUUUCUAUUUGAUUAAUGCAGAC